rnacentral:rRNA from 1 species
GAUGAACGCUGGCGGCGUGCCUAAUACAUGCAAGUCGAGCGAACAGAUGAGGAGCUUGCUCCUCUGACGUUAGCGGCGGACGGGUGAGUAGCACGUGGAUAACCUACCUAUAAGACUGGGAUAACUUCGGGAAACCGGAGCUAAUACCGGAUAAUAUAUUGAACCGCAUGGUUCAAUAGUGAAAGACGGUUUUGCUGUCACUUAUAGAUGGAUCCGCGCCGCAUUAGCUAGUUGGUAAGGUAACGGCUUACCAAGGCAACGAUGCGUAGCCGACCUGAGAGGGUGAUCGGCCACACUGGAACUGAGACACGGUCCAGACUCCUACGGGAGGCAGCAGUAGGGAAUCUUCCGCAAUGGGCGAAAGCCUGACGGAGCAACGCCGCGUGAGCGAUGAAGGUCUUCGGAUCGUAAAACUCUGUUAUUAGGGAAGAACAAAUGUGUAAGUAACUAUGCACGUCUUGACGGUACCUAAUCAGAAAGCCACGGCUAACUACGUG